rnacentral:rRNA from 1 species
AGGGUUCGAUUCUGGCUCAGGAUGAACGCUGGCGGCGUGCUUAACACAUGCAAGUCGAACGGAGUGCCUUUAUGGCGACCGGCGCACGGGUGAGUAACACGUAUCCAACCUGCCGUCUACUCUUGGCCAGCCUUCUGAAAGGAAGAUUAAUCCAGGAUGGGAUCAUGAGUUCACAUGUCCGCAUGAUUAAAGGUAUUUUCCGGUAGACGAUGGGGAUGCGUUCCAUUAGAUAGUAGGCGGGGUAACGGCCCACCUAGUCAACGAUGGAUAGGGGUUCUGAGAGGAAGGUCCCCCACAUUGGAACUGAGACACGGUCCAA